CUGUUCAGAUUCCGUGGGAGAAGGAGCUGUGGAGCACUGUGACAACAAAGCCUGUUCUGAAAUACUAUUUCUAUUUGAAUGCAGGAGCAUUAAAAGUAUCAUCGGAUCAGCUGUUGUCCGGCUA